GAGAGUAUAACUCAGUAUUAGAGUGUGUGCUUAGUGUGCACGAGGUCCUGGGUUCAAUCCCCGGUACCAACA
rnacentral:tRNA from 1 species